CGCACAGCGUGAAACCGCGAACGGCUCAUUACAACAGCUAUUAUUUACUUGACUUUGACACCAUACUUGGAUAACUGUGGUAAUUCUAGAGCUAAUACAUGCACAAAUGCACCGACCCGCAAGGGACAAGUGCGCAUUUAUUAGAACAAAACCAAGCGGCUUCGGCCGUUCUUUGUUGACUCAGAAUAACUAAGCUGAUCGCAUGGUCUUGAACCGGCGACAUGUCUUUCAAGUAUCUGCCUUAUCAACUUUCGUUGGUAGUGUAACUGACUACCAUGGUGAUGACGGGUAACGGAGGAUAAGGGUUCGACUCCGGAGAAGGGGCCUGAGAAAUGGCCACUACGUCUAAGGAUGGCAGCAGGCACGCAAAUUACCCACUCUCAGAACGAGGAGGUAGUGACGAGAAAUAACGAGACCGUUCUCUUCAGAGGCCGGUCAUCGGAAUGGGUACAAUUUAAACCCUUUAACGAGUAUCUAUGAGAGGGCAAGUCUGGUGCCAGCAGCCGCGGUAAUUCCAGCUCUCAAAAUGCAUAGAAUUAUUGCUGCGGUUAAAAAGCUCGUAGUUGGAUCUGUGACGGCGUUCUGGUCCACCUUCGGGUGCGCACUGGUUGUCGCCGUCUUUUCUGUAGCAUUGGGCGCUGCGCCCUUCACCGGGUGCAGUUGCUGCUGCUAUAAGUUUACUUUGAACAAAUCAGAGUGCUCCAAACAGGCGUUUCGCUUGAAUGUUCGUGCAUGGAAUAAUAGAAGAGGAUUUCGGUUCUAUUUUAUUGGUUUUAUAGACUGAGAUAAUGGUUAACAGAGACAAACGGGGGCAUUCGUAUGGCUACGUGAGAG
rnacentral:rRNA from 1 species